rnacentral:rRNA from 1 species
UACGAAGGGGGCUAGCGUUGUUCGGAAUUACUGGCGUAAGCGCGCGCAGGCGGUUCUUCAAGUCAGAGGUGAAAGCCCAGAGCUCAACUCUGGAAUGGCCUUUGAGACUAGAGAACUAGGGUACGGGAGAGGUGAGUGGAAUUCCGAGUGUAGAGGUGAAAUUCGUAGAUAUUCGGAGGAACACCAGUGGCGAAGGCGGCUCACUGGUCCGGUACUGACGCUGAGGCACGAAAGCGUGGGGAGCAAACAGG